CCGGGCUGCACAAGCUGCCCGGGAUGGUGCAGACGCGGCUGUGCCUGCGCGGCUCCACCUGGUCCCCGCUGGAGCCCUUCUGCGGCCGAAGCUGUAGCAGCCCAGCGAGGGCCAGGUUUGCUCAGCUGUCAGAGGAGGACGAGAAAAAGAGUUUCUACCCUGUUGGGAGCACCGUGCGUUAUAUCUGUCGCCCCGGGUAUGAGAAUGUCACUGCAACGCAGCCAACCAGUACUUGUCUUGAAAAUGUAACCUGGUCAGAUAUCCCCGAGUUGUGUAAAAGGAAAUCUUGCGGUGCUCCAAAAGGACCAGAACAUGGCAGAGCUGCUGUUAUAACAGACUUCCUCUUUGGUGCCAGGAUGAACAUAAUUUGUGACGCGGGGUACCAGUUAAUUGGGCGUCCGUCCAUCAGUUGUCGGUUGAAAGGAGAUCAAGUUGCGUGGAGUGAUCUUCCAACUUGCCAAACAGUCACGGCAACACAACCUGCUACUCCCACAAGUGACCCCCCAGGACGAGCAGACGUGGGUGUUAAUUCCACAGUCACGGCAACACGACCUGCUACUCCCACAAGUGACCCCCCAGGACGAGCAGACGUGGGUGUUAAUUCCACAGGUAGUUGUGGUGCCCCAACAAGUUUAAAGUUUGCUGCUUUAAGUAAGGAAGAUGAGAGGCGAAAUUUUUAUCCCGUUGGGAUUGUUGUGAGAUACACUUGUCGCCCAGGGUUUGAGAACAUCACUGAAACCCCGCCUGUCAGGACAUGCCUUGAAAAUUUAACAUGGUCAGAAGUUCCUGAAUUAUGCAGAAGGAAAUCAUGUGGUCCUCCAAGGGAACUACCCAAUGGCAGAGCUGUUGUUAAAACAGAUUAUUUGUUUGGUGCAAAAGUAAACCUCCUCUGCAAGGAUGGGUAUGAAUUAGUUGGGCAGUCGUUUAUCAACUGUACGUUAAAGGGAGACCAAGUUGAGUGGAGCAAACUUCCAGUUUGCCAAUUGAAAAGUGCACCUGUUGGAAACAGAUCAAAGGCAAAACUAAAUUCAGAUACCUUUCAUGGAUCUAAGAAGUAUGCUGGAACUGAUAUAAAACACUGGUAUUAUAAGAAGCAAUUCCACACCCCAUGGAAGCCAUCCUGCCCUGCUUUCUUAGGCCCCAGAAGCAGCCCGAGGAACAGAGUGUUCGGUAGCUGCGUUAGCCCAUCACCACGUCGGUUUGUUGUGCCAUUGUACACGAAUCGAAUCGACUAUCCUGCUGGAAGCAGUCAUACCUCUCGCUGCCACCACAGUUACAUGGGAAUUUCUGGAAUGUUGCCCAGUGCCACUUGCUUUCAAAAUGCAAGGUGGUCGAAAGUCCCAAUGCUUUGUGGAAAGAGAUCAUGGUCAUCCAGGGGAACCAAAGCAUGGCAGAGCUGCUGUUAUAACCGCUUUCCGAUUCGGUGCAAGAGUACGUAUUACCCAUGAAGAGGGAUAAAUGCUGUACUCUGCUGAGAGGCUUCAAGCUACUGGCGGACUCUGGAAAUCGCAAUACCUGUCCUUAUGGCAUGAAAGCACUCAGGCUAGAAACAGAUCUUGCAUGUAUUCCUGGAAAAGUUGGCCUGUGUUUAUCCUGGAACAAAAAUAUCCUGGGAUUGGUAUGUACAUACAUUAUUAUUUAUUACCCUUCUAAUCACCCUUUAGUGAGCAGCUGAAAACAGUGCUGCUUUUAUGCCAUUGAUUCAAUGAAGCUAUCCCUGGGAAACUGUACGGAUACACUUUGAUAUAACCCAAGAAAAGCUGUUACUACCUUUUAUUUGGGAAACUUGUUUUUUAGGCUUUAUGCUAGGAUAAAGGUCAUGGACAUCUGUAUACUUGUACUCGGCCCUGGGAUAAAAUGGUAUAUCCUGGGAUAAAUGCUGUGUCUGGUUACAGCCUCAAAGCACAGAACAUGACUAAUGCAAAUAGAAAACAGAUCUUUUUUUAGUAACUGGUCUGUGACUAUGAACCUUCAUGCCAGGAGUACUGAGAAUAGCAGUCACAGAAUCGCUUCAGAAUUGCUGUCUUAAAGAGCUGCCUUCAAGAAAUGGGCUAGAGGUAAAACCAAGCAUGCUCUAUUGUUGGUUGGUUAUUACCUUAUUUACUGAUUAAGACAAGGAUUAAGAUGUUACCAAUGCAAAAGGAAUGAUGUGGGAACUGCAGUUACGGGACAGGACAGCUUCAGCCUGUGCUUUAAUACAUUAUUUAUACUCCAGUAUUUAAAACAGACUCAUGGAUUUUUUCCAUACAUUGGUCUAAGCCUUGGGGACUAUUUCCUUAACUUGUUCUAAACAACACAUCCCACUCAGCUUAAAGAUGCACGCUAACCAGCCCUGGUGGGGGUGUAUGUGAGCUGGGCAUGGAUACAAUCGGCCUUUCUGAGAUGUAUAUACCAGUGCAAUCAAUGCUUAUUGUUUCAGUGCUGCUUUAGGUAACUAUGGUGGUUUCUUUUCAUGUAGUAGCUGCAAGCAGGUUUCUUUUCCUAUAGAGAGGGCUGGGGGGACAGAACAACUUCAACGUGUGCUUUAACACAGCACAUGGGACUGAACUCAUCUCGUAUUACAGAAGGACACUGGAAGAGAAGGAGCUUGUGGAGGGGAGUUAGCAAAGCACAGAAAUGACAUCAGCCGUAACACCUCUGACUGUAUGCUAUGCUCUCUGUGAUUUAAAAAGCCCACGUAAUUUAUGAGCUAGAAGGCAGUGAAGUCCUUGAUAUAUUUUUAACCAGCUGCUUGGAAAUGCACUUGAAUAGACACAAACAUGGGAAACUGCUCUUUCUAUUCAUCCAGUUCUGCCUCAAUAAGCAAAAUUGCCAUUGACACAAGGUAGAUAGAGAACCCCCCACAGCUCAGUUAGUAAGACCUGCUCUGGAAGCACAUCAUCCCACAGACCUGACAGCACUCCUUAUGGCUACCUGUAUGCCCUUUUCUAUUUAACAGAGAUGCUUUAAUUGUGCUCCCCAGCUGAAAGAAAAGGGGUGAGUAUCUGUAGUGCUCUUUUUGCUUCAGUUCACAGCUGCUUCUAUGCAGAAACUGCUAAUCCAGAUGAGUUCUGCAGUUACUUUCACUGCUACAGGGACUAGGAAAGGGAACUAAACCCAUUUUAAAGUCACUUCUGUUUCAGAUCUUUAACUUUGAUGUGCAAAACUACAAGAAAUCUGCUCACACCUACUUCCCAUCUGAAUUUUUAGUCACUUGCAUAAAUAUUAAUUUGAAAAUGAAGUGGCUUGGUCUUUUGUUGACAGGGCUAGAGCCAAGCAAAGAACAGCAGAAAGUCUCAUUUGUCAUGUAGAUUAAUGCUGAAACUCUAAUAGCAGGUCUUCCCUGAAGAUGGAAAGCAGCUGGUGAUAUCAGAGGAAGCCUUUCAGGAUUCUUUAGGGUCCAAAAAUCUUUACAGCAUUGCUGGGAAACACUAAUGCAUAUUUCCCUGCAUGUGUUAGUAAUACAGAUCUGCUGCCAGGAUAGUCAGCCACAUGAAAGACAACAGGCAUAUGCUGCCCGUAGUUUUGGCUGUUUAUAUUGCAUGGAACCAAUUUAGAAUUUGGGGAAUUAAAGUUAAGUGACACACAACUUUCCUAGAAUGUUGCAAACGUAAUUUGUAUGUAGAAGAGAUGUCCUCGCUGGCAAUCCAAAGCUCUCUGUUCUAUGGAGUAAUACCUAGCUCUCCUGUGAAGCAAUGCUCUGGCCACUCGAGGCUUGCUCUGUUAACACCGUGCCAAGCAGUCUCUUUUUCCCUUCUAUUUGUCAUGCACCACUUCUUCCCUACAAGAGAUUCACGCAGAUUAAAUACUCUUUUAUUGUGGGUUUACAUAGCAACUUGCUGUCUUGUUUUCUACUGAAUGUGGGCACAGUCCAGCUAAAGGUGGUUACCUUGGAUACCCCACCUUAAUCAGCGGUGACCUUCUGCCUAGGAACUCAAGGCUGUAGUUGAGGAGUAGAGCACAAGAAAUCUUCUCUGCCAGGCUGAGGUAGUGCAAUUGCUUCAUUACGCACGGGGAGUCCUGGAUACCAUGGUGUUAGCCCCAUCAACGACAUAGCCCUGCCAAAUGCCUCUUCAUCAGUGAACUGAUUCUGCUGAAGCCAGUUGAAGUUUAGCUUUUGGCUUCAGUAGCUGCAAGCCCAGGAUCUUACUUCUUUUAGGAAACAAACCAUGCAAGGUGCCAACUGAGCUGGAUUUUCAGCAAGCUGAAUAGGCUGCUACAAGGUCUCUUCUUGUUUUUUAGGGGAAUUGUAUCUAAGCCCAGCCGGACUAUGCUACAACCGUCCCCUCAUUUUUAACGCUGAGAUUUCAGUUCCCUUUAGGAGUUAAUCCAGUUUGUUACCUAGUUGUUUGCUUUUUGUUUUUCCACUGAACAGAAAACAGACUCUUAUCGGGAAGGAGUCUCGGUAAUCUGGAGAUGGAAUGUGUUGCAGACAAUGGUUUAUUUCAUGAGAUCAUUCUUCACUCUGACUAUGCCACCUUUGACUUAUUAUGUUCUUGUCAGGAAUGAGCCAAAGAGAUCUGGAUAAUCUGCCAUAUAAAAACAAACCCACUUAACUGUUACUUUUCCAUUGCAUAAAGGGUGCUAUUACAUGUGCAGAAGUUUUCUGAGCUUUUAAAAACAGGGCUAAUCUGGUAAAUGCCUAUGCACUUAAUUAGAAACAGGAGAGGUUGGGGGAAAUUAGGGGAGCCUUGUAGAAGACAGGUGAGAGACCUGGACUGGCAAUAAGGGUUAAUUUAGGCUAGAAAUCCGAAGCAAGUUUUAACAAUCAUAAGGGUAAUUAAGCUUUGGAGCAAUUUACCAGGGGAUGUGGAGGAUUCUUUCUCAAAAGAGACCCCAGAACUUAUAAAGAAGCCACAGAUUUGGUGAAGAAAUAGUUGGAUGAGAUGCCAUGGUCUGUGCUACACAGGUGGGUCAUAAUAUCUCCUCUGGCUUCUGUGACCUAUCUUUCCCUGAUGGACUGUAACAGGAGCUUAAGGAAAGGGUUAGCUGGGGAUGGGAAAACAGGCUCUGAGUAAUGUUUCCCUCUAAGUAAUAGAUGGUUCCUUUCACAGGUCAUUAAACAGAGAAGAACUGCCUGGGGCGGUGGUGCAAGAAUAAGAUUAUUGAUGUCUCAUUCACUUUCAUGACACAAGCAAUGUGCCUAACCCCAUUGCUGGCUGCACUUGAAAGUGCGUCAAUACCUAGACCUGUUUUCCUCAGAAUUUCUGACAGCCCUUAUCAGCUGGCAGGGCCACCUCCCCUCUGGCAGAGCCACCUCCUCUCUAGGCAAAGUUUCAUUCCAGAGAUUCUAGUCUGAAAGCAGUGGGAUUCUUCUGGCUUGCACGAGGUGUGAAAGCAAUUCAUCCUUGUUUAGGGACAGAUAGCAAUCUGACCCUAAGCAAGCUCCUGUUCACUCUCCCAUAACCAACAGCAGAAUGGAGGGUUUCCAAUAGUACAACAUCACCUGGGUGCUUGCUUGUUAGUAUCUGAGCAGGCCCCAGGACCUGGCAGGUGAGGGUGGGGGAAGUGGGCAGCUCAAGAAAGGAUUCAGUUUUCGUGUGAACUUAGUUUAAUUGUUUUUUAUCCUGAUCAACCAGUUGCUUUGGUUCCUUUUACUUGGCUCAUCUCUUGAAGAAUAUGUCGGCUGUGCAAGAGCAUUAGUGCAAGAUAAACAGGCUGUCCUAGACUCUAGCACCUGAGCAGGAUGCAGUUGCCUGUCACCUGGCUGUACCUGGGUGAGAAGUCAAUACAGCCCCUCAACCUUCAAGCUUUAUGGAAGUUUCCAGUGGAUCCAACGCCGGGAAAGCAACAGUGGAGGAGCUUUCACCAGGGGGCUGGGUGAGGGGUUAGAGAUGUACAGGGAAAUGACUGGUAUGAAGCUGGGGACAACCAGGAUGUCCUUAGUGAGUGUGCUUCUCUGGAAGUAUGACGCAGAGGACGCAAAGCUAUGUGGGGAGGUGGGGGGCAAUUCUGAAAAUAAUUUCCUCAUUCUUGUAACUCUUAUCAUAGGGAGAACAUGGGCAGUGCACGUGACACAUGCCUCUCACCUUGGCUGGGUGAUCAGCUUAAUCUCAGAGUGGAGUUCCUAAGAAGAACAAAGUCAACAACAAGGCUCAUUGGUAUUAAAGGGAAAUCAGCCUGCGGGGACUUCGCGACUGCCAGGUGCCACAGUCUUGUCACCCUCCUCCUCGUCCCUGCUGCUUGCCCUUUGGCCCCCUCGGGCGCCUGCUCUCUGCGCCUGUCUCUUGCAUGCACCUAAGUGGAGAGUACAGGUGAGGGAGUUCAGGGAGCAAGCCCAGCCCUGGGCUAGGAGAGCCCUUGCUGUGUUUGUCGAUCAGGCGCCAUGCGAGAACAUGUAGCUUCGUGUGCUUUGUCCAGAGGCACAACUGGAAGGCAGCGUACAAUUGCACCAUAUAGGCUACCCAAACUACAUAGAUACCUACAUAUACCGACGUAUGGAUAUAACCUAGAUGGGUUAGCCUAUACUGUACAAACCUACCCUGUCUUCCAAACUAUAUUUUUCCCUGGAACAAGUGUAUGUGUAUAUAUAUGUGUGUGUGUGUGUGUGUGCUCACUAACCAAAGUAUGUACAUACUUGUACACAUACUCAUACACAGCCCACAGGCUCUAUUUUUUCCCUGAAUUUUGAGAGAGGCUGCUUUGCUCUCUCUAUAUAGUGACUAGUUCAUAUAGACACAGAGGGCAAGCACAACCUGUCCAUGUUACAUACUGUGUGCAUGUGUGUGUGUGUGUAGCCUCUCUCCCUCUCUCUCUCUCAUACACACAGUGUUUAUAAAAUCCUUGUGCAACUUUAAACUUUAAUAACUUUGGAUGUACACAUGAGAGAAGCAAACUGCAAAUGGUGAUUAAAAGCAUCAUUCAUUCAGUUUUUUAGCAUAGUGUAAGUUAUGCAUAGGGUAAAGAUCCCAAUUCAUGAAAUCAUUCAGCAGCAACUGAAAAAUGUUUGCUAUGAGUUGGAAAAUCAGACUGAACGAUGUAUCCGGAAAGACAGCAGUUAGCUGAAGUCUAGAAAUUUGAGAUGCGUUGUAUUAAAAAUGAAUGGAUGAUGUUUUCUGUCGCCGCAGACGGUUUGCUUCUCUCGUGUGUACAUCCACAGUCGUUGAAGUUUGCAGUUGCAUGAGGACUUUAUAAGUGUGUGUGUGUGUGUGUGCGCGUGUCAGGCCUAGUGGCUGCGGUACUGGGUGUUUAUAAAGUCCUGGUGCAACUUCGUUUUAAGGUGUGCCAGGACUUUACACCCAGUGUGCAGCA